rnacentral:rRNA from 1 species
UACGUAGGGGGCAAGCGUUGUCCGGAUUUAUUGGGCGUAAAGAGCGUGUAGGCGGUCUGGUAGGUCCGUUGUGAAAACUCGAGGCUCAACCUCGAGACGCCGAUGGAAACCAUCAGACUAGAGUCCGGAAGAGGAGAGUGGAAUUCCUGGUGUAGCGGUGAAAUGCGCAGAUAUCAGGAAGAACACCCGUGGCUAAGGCGGCUCUCUAGUACGGUACUGACGCUGAGGUGCGAAAGCGUGGGGAGCAAACAGG